rnacentral:rRNA from 1 species
UAGGGAAUCUUCCGCAAUGGACGCAAGUCUGACGGAGCAACGCCGCGUGAGUGAAGAAGGAUUUCGGUUCGUAAAACUCUGUUGUUAGAGAAGAACAGCGCAUAGAGUAACUGUUAUGCGUGUGACGGUAUCUAACCAGAAAGCCACGGCUAACUACGUGCCAGCAGCCGCGGUAAUACGUAGGUGGCAAGCGUUGUCCGGAUUUAUUGGGCGUAAAGCGAGCGCAGGCGGUCAAUUAAGUCUGAUGUGAAAGCCCCCGGCUCAACCGGGGAGGGUCAUUGGAAACUGGUUGACUUGAGGUCAGAAGGGGAGAGUGGAAUUCCAUGUGUAGCGGUGAAAUGCGUAGAUAUAUGGAGGAACACCGGUGGCGAAGGCGACUCUCUGGUCUGUAACUGACGCUGAGGUUCGAAAGCGUGGGUAGCAAACAGG